rnacentral:rRNA from 1 species
AUUGAACGCUGGCGGCAGGCCUAACACAUGCAAGUCGAGCGAGCGGCGGACGGGUGAGUAAUGUAUGGGGACUGCCCGAUAGAGGGGGAUAACUACUGGAAACGGUGGCUAAUACCGCAUACUAUCGGAUAACCCAUAUGGGAUUAGCUAGUAGGUGGGGUAAAGGCUCACCUAGGCGACGAUCUCUAGCUGGUCUGAGAGGAUGAUCAGCCACAUGGGUAUUUAAACACGGCCCGUAUUCCUACGGAGGCGGCAGUGGGGAAUAUUGCACAAUGGGCGCAGGCCUGAUGCAGCAAUGACGCGUGUAUGAAGAAGGCCUUAGGGUUGUAAAGUACUUUCAGCGGGGAGGCGUUACCCGCAGAAGAAGCACCGGCUAACUCCGUGCCAGCCGCCGCGGUAAUAC